GUGCCAGCAGCCGCGGUAAUACGUAGGGUGCGAGCGUUAAUCGGAAUUACUGGGCGUAAAGCGUGCGCAGGCUGUUCUGUAAGUCAGAUGUGAAAUCCCCGAGCUCAACUUGGGAACUGCGUUUGAAACUACAGGACUAGAAUAUGUCAGAGGGGGGUAGAAUUCCACGUGUAGCAGUGAAAUGCGUAGAGAUGUGGAGGAAUACCAAUGGCGAAGGCAGCCCCCUGGGAUAAUAUUGACGCUCAUGCACGAAAGCGUGGGGAGCAAACAGGAUUAGAUACCCUAGUAGUCC
rnacentral:rRNA from 1 species